rnacentral:rRNA from 1 species
CCUACGGGUGGCAGCAGUGAGGAAUAUUGGUCAAUGGGCGCGAGCCUGAACCAGCCAAGUAGCGUGAAGGAUGACUGCCCUACGGGUUGUAAACUUCUUUUGUAAAGGAGUAAAGUGAGGCACGUGUGCCUUUUUGUAUGUACUUUAUGAAUAAGGAUCGGCUAACUCCGUGCCAGCAGCCGCGGUAAUACGGAGGAUCCGAGCGUUAUCCGGAUUUAUUGGGUUUAAAGGGAGCGUAGAUGGGUUGUUAAGUCAGUUGUGAAAGGUUGCGGCUCAACCGUAAAAUUGCAAUUGAUACUGGCAGUCUUGAGUAUAGUUGCGGUAGGCGGAAUUCGUGGUGUAGCGGUGAAAUGCUUAGAGAUCACGCAGAACUCCGAUUGCGAAGGCAGCUUACUAAACUGCAACUGACAUUGAUGCUCGAAAGUGUGGGUAUCAAACAGGAUUAGAUACCCUAGUAGUC